ensembl:lncRNA
GUCCACGCAAUAAAGCCGAUAUCAAGAGACGACCUGUGUCUGUGUUGUCUUGAAGAGAGCUACAGUCAUUGUGAAACGGUGCAGCACAGCACACAGUGACACAACGAAAUGUGUCCUCUGCUUUUAACCAUCAUCCUUGGCCUCAAGUGCUGGACAGGAGCUCCCUUCAUUUCUACCUCAGCAAGGAAGUUGGAAACAGGACAGGGUUCCAGAAGUCUCUCACCUCUUCUCUCAGUGCACACAACCAAACAUGAUCUCUGCAUUUAACCCAUUUUGUGUAGGAUCAGCAAACAGCUAUAAGUGGUGUUCAUGGAGCAAUGUAUGGGGGUGGCACCUUGCUUAAGGGGACCACAGUUGCCACAUGGCAGGUUGAUCAAUUUAAAAACUUGACCUUCUGAUUCUGCUUCCAGGCAACCACCGCCCAACACAAUCAUCUCAUAGGGUCUAGAAUUCCAUACACAGUACAUAUUGUUCUGUAUAUUCCAUACACAGUAACCACUUUGGUUGGAAGUAUAUGGAAUAGCACUAAAUUAAUAGUUUUAUAUUAGCUGACACUACACUCUUAACCCGGAUUUUGUCUAAACCAAAAAAUGUAAGCAGUCAUCACGUAUUCUUUAUUGUUUUUUUAAAAAAAGUUGUCACUGCUAAAAAGUAUUAGUUGUUUGCACUAUUUAGACAAAUAAUUGACUACACUGAUUAAGUUAAGAAGACAUCACUCAGUAUGUUACGUUUUUGAAAAGGGGGAGGGGCUUUUUGAAGCGGGUCGCUUGAGCAGAGAGCUGCAGCUGCCUCGAGAGACGCUCCAACGGUUAAUUUUUGAAAACAACGUGAAUCGGAUUUUUCGAGAGCUUUGCUGUAGACAAGUUCUGCAGGUUCUGCUUGGCAAAGAGGAGUGACAUCCAAGCCACAGAAGUCUCAUCAGGCCGCUUUGAACCCAGAACAAAAGAAAAUUACAACCAGCACGUGCUGGAGGUAUGUCGAGAUCCCAGUUUAGCUAAACAGUAUGGUGUAAAAGGUGAAUGUGUGUUGACCAGUAGUCUGCAGCAUUUUCAUGCUGUUCAUAGGUACCCCCCUGACAUUCUGCAUGACCUUUUUGAAGGCAUUGUUCCGGUUGAGUUAUCACUUUGCAUUUCAGACCUGAUUGCGAAGAAAUAUUUCAGCUUAGAGAUGCUGAACCAUGCUAUCAAAACAUUUCCAUAUGCCUUAAAUGAUUCCACAGACCAGCCCCAGCC